UACAGAGGUCCCAAGCGUUGUUCGGAUUCAUUGGGCGUAAAGGGUGCGUAGGCGGCGCGGUAAGUCGGGUGUGAAAUCUCGGAGCUUAACUCCGAAACUGCAUUCGAUACUGCCGUGCUUGAGGACUGGAGAGGAGACUGGAAUUUACGGUGUAAGCGGUGAAAUGCGUAGAUAUCGUAAGGAAGACCAGUGGCGAAGGCGGGUCUCUGGACAGUUCCUGACGCUGAGGCACGAAGGCCAGGGGAGCAAACGGAUGAUA
rnacentral:rRNA from 1 species